rnacentral:rRNA from 1 species
UACGUAGGGGGGCAAACGUUGUCCGGAUUUAUUGGCGUAAAGAGCGUGUAGGCGGCCUGACAGGUCUGCUAGGUGAAAACCUCGAGGCUCAACCUCGAGAUGUCGGCGGAAACCGUCUGGCUAGAGUCCGGAAGAGGAGAGUGGAAUUCCUGGUAGUAGCGGUGAAAUGCGCAGAUAGAUCAGGAAGAACACCUAUGGCGAAGGCAGCUCUCUGGGACGGUACUGACGCUGAGACGCGAAAGCGUGGGGAGCGAACAGG